rnacentral:rRNA from 1 species
GGGUUUGAUCAUGGCUCAGGAUGAACGCUGGCGGCGUGCUUAACACAUGCAAGUCGAACGAACCUUCGGGUUAGUGGCGGACGGGUGAGUAACGCGUGGGAAUCUGCCCUCAGGAGGGGGAUAACGGCCGGAAACGGCCGCUAAUACCCCAUAUGCCGAGAGGUGAAAUGAAUUUCGCCUGAGGAUGAGCCCGCGUCUGAUUAGCUAGUUGGUGAGGUAAGAGCUCACCAAGGCAUCGAUCAGUAGCUGGUCUGAGAGGAUGAUCAGCCACACUGGGACUGAGACACGGCCCAGACUCCUACGGGAGGCAGCAGUGGGGAAUCUUCCGCAAUGGGCGAAAGCCUGACGGAGCAACGCCGCGUGAGGGAUGAAGGCCUCUGGGCUGUAAACCUCUUUUAUCAAGGAAGAAGAUCUGACGGUACUUGAUGAAUAAGCCACGGCUAAUUCCGUGCCA